AGGAUCUGCUUUUCUCUUCAGCAGAGAAGACGAAAGCUGUGUGGUAAGUUCUUUCAAUUUUCUUCUCUUUUCCACUCGAUUUUCUUUCUUGAUGAAUUGAACUCAGCUGAUAUGGUCGAAAUAUUCCAUCUUUUCAAAUAUUUUUUGCGCUUUGAAUUCUUUUUCUUUUUUAGAUGUAUGAUUUCUCAAUUUAAUCUAAUAUGUGAAAUUGUAUGAUUUGAAUUCUGUUUGAGAGAUGGAGAAGUUUCUUAUGAGUAGUUGCUUCUUUUUUUAGUAACCUUCCAACUUAGGUCAUUGGGAAUUCUUACGAACAUCGGAAUUGUGAGAUUGAAGCGAAAGCUUUUGUUGGAAAAUCAUCUUUCCUAACAAUCUGAAGAAGACGAUGUUUUGAAAUGCAAAUUUAUUAUUCCUUACUGAUACUAUCUAGUAGGUAGAACAACAAAUCGAAACCCCAAUUCCUCAUACUGAAAAAGCAUACUAUUAGAUUUCAAAACCUGUUUAAGUUUCAGAGCCAAUCUUCGGAGGUGUUUCCGCCAUUUGAAGAGCGAGACCAGUACUCCUUGACAAGCUGGCCAAACAGCGAUCCCUCCUUCUUUAUCAGCUUCAUUGGCUCAUCAUACUCUACCAAUUUUCCUACAGAAGCAGAAGCGCAAGUUAUUUGAAUCGGUUUUACUCAAUUGAUCCCAACUAGAAUGAAAUGUUCCUUCAUAGAAACUUACCAUCGCUGAUAGCAAGCACCAUUGUGCAGUCCAUCACGGUUGGGAUUCUGUGGGCUACUGUUAUUACAGUGCAGUCUGCAAAUUCUGUCCUUAUCGUCUUCUGGAGAAUGGAGUCGGUUGCAUUGUCUAUGGAUGCAGUGGCUUCAUCAAGCACUAGUAUCCGACUUCUCCUCAGUAGAGCACGUCCCAAACAGAAUAAUUGUCGCUGGCCCAUGCUCCAAUUUGAUCCGUCUUGUACAACUGUAGGGGAGAGAUUGUUAGCAAGAGUUUAUGAGUCCAAAGAAUGGUACCUGUGUGUAUUAUGCUUCAUACCUAAGGAGUCCAGACCCUCUUCUUUCUCUUGAACAGCCCCUCGAAGUUGACAUUUUUCCAGAACCUUUCACACAUUCAUGAGAAACAAUCUUAGUGUAGGAUAUAAAGUAAAUUUACCUUAUUAGGAAUCUGUUCUUUUUCAAGGCACUACCACGACAAACAUUUGGUAUGGAAAGAAAAUUAGGAGGUAUUUAACAGCAUUCUAAAAGAUCUUUGGCUUCCAAAACACAGAAUAUCAGGAGCUAGAUCAAGGGAGUUCAAAAUUUAACAGCGUUUAAUUAGUUUGAUAGUAUAGAAACCACCAUGUCUAUGCACUUAAGAGUGAAGCCUGCUUCAUAUCACUGGCAGAAUCUUUUAGGAAUCUGUAUCAUAUCAUGAUUGAAUCCUAAAAUUAGCAACCACAACAAAUUAAUAGGCAACUCACCUCCCAUAUUUCCUCAUCAGUAUGCAGUGAUAAAGGGUCAAGAUUGUAUCUUACAGCUCCGCUAAAAAGAGUUGGUUCUUGUGGAAUGAUCCCAAGACGUGAUCUGAGAUCAUGAAGCCCAAUUGUGGAAAUAUUUAUGCCAUCUAUAAUUAUCUGUCCCUCUGUAGGCUCUACCAAGCGAAACAAAGUGCUGAUAAGUGUUGUCUUUCCACUACCAGUCCGGCCAACAAUCCCAAUUUUCUGUCCUCCUCCAAUUUUGCAACUAAUUCCUUGAAGAACUAGAGGAGCAUUGGGCCGAUACUUAACCUGCUCAAUGUCAUUUCAUCUACCAUAUUAAUAUCUAUAAAUCUUGAAGUUGUAGAAUAGACACAGAUUCCCAAAUUCUUACUGAUUUCACGUUUACCUUCAAAUCAUAAAUUUCCACUUCACCAAUAGCAGGCCAACUGAGUGGUGGUUGAUAGCUCUCUAUGACGGCAGGGGCUUCGCUAGGAAUAUUCAUGAACUGUUCUAAUCUUUCAACAGAAACAAUCAUAUUUGCUAAAAGGCACUGGCUUUGGACAGAAAAUACGAGGAAUAUAUUCACUGAAAGACCAUAUGACAAUGCCAUUCCAAUAAAUCCUGCCAUCAGAACAUUGACAACGAAAAUGCUCGUUAGACAAUAAUUCCAUAAAUGGUUGUCUAUUACUAAGAUUUCUUUAAAUAUCAAAUUGACCAAGUUAUUUUUGAAUAUCAAAUACUGUGCAUGUAGGAAGUUAGUAGAAGGGUUUUUCUAUUAGAUUAUGCACUGAUCUGUUCCUAUGAUUAUUUUGUAAGAAUGGUGGGCUAUUUAGCUCACUUUGUUCUUGAUAUAACCCAAGUUUCUAGUUAUGAUGUUGAGAAAGUUGGAGCUAAAAUGGGUUGAUUAUAGUGAUUUUUUAUUACUACCAACAGGGCAGCUAUUGUUUCAUGAUCUACAAAGCCCUAUCUUGUAUUCGUUUCACUCUACUCAAGGUCAAGUAGGAAACUAAGAUAGGUAACUUUCUGAUUUAAUGUUGGAUAUUUUUAUUGGAUUAUAGGUCAUCACUGAAUUGCCUCUAAAUAUUUCAUCCUUUUGAAGUUCCUUUUUUCCAGUGAGAAAUAUGAAAAUUUAGUGGAGGCCCUUGGUUGUUCAUCUCCUUUUUCCGUUAAAAACAUAUGCUAGCUAGCAAGCAGUCAUAGCAGGCAACAGAAAAUAUUUUUUGUCUUGAGGUUUUGAUCCUUUUGGAGAAUUUAUUAUUUGUGCCCUUAAUCAGACACUUCAUAUUUAUCAUUUUCUGGUUGUAGAUCUUACCUACUGAAAAAUCCUAACAUUAUCCUUUUGUGAGGAUCAAAAUUCACAUGGUCAAUUACUAUUCUCAAAGUUGCACAAGCCCCCUUAGGCUAAACAUGUUAUAAACUUCUAGGAUGUUAAACUGUUGAAAUUGGAGCAAAGAGAGAGUUUUAAGCAACUGCAAUGACAAUUAAGGUUAUGGCAUGGACCUUCUAAUUUAGUGUCCAUUCUCAUUGGUAAUAUAGUUAGCCUCUUUGAGUACAUUCAAGCUAUCUUGGAUUUUGCCUAGUUUGUUCCAUCAAACUAAUGGAUAGUGGAGCAUGCAAAGUUAGGGAUAGGAAGGACCUGUAAUUUCGAUAGUGUCUUGACUUUGCAGUUUGGUACCCUCAUGGAACCCUCUGGGAAAGAAAAAUGAUAAAGAGUAUUUUUGGUGUUUUUCUUUUGGAAAUGGAAAGAAAAAUUGCAGAUCUCUAGAUGAUAUUGGGCAUUUUAGUUCAGGUAAGGCCAGUGAUCUGGGUGGCUUCUAUGGGAAAAAGCUUCAAGUUGCUGCAAGUUAAGAAUGCAAUAGGGUGAGGGGAAGGCUGAAUGUUACAUGGGUAGAAUUCAUAAAAUAGAUCAAAAUCUCACAUGUUGAAUGGUGACUUGUCUUACUAUCAGGUGAAAUGGCUGGAUAGGAUACUUGUAAUUAAACCAAGAUUGUGAUUCAAAUGGUACUUGUAGGGCAAUGAAUUUAUGAUUUGAUCUUAGAGAAUUGAUAGUUAGGAAUGCCCAAGCAAACUAACAAAUUCAAAUGUAAUUGAGCUGUAUAAACUAGUGAGAAACAAUUGUAUAUUUGAGAUGAAAAACACCUACCAGCUUUAGAAGCUCUUGUGUGAAUCAAAGUUAGGGCAAGGGCUGAAGAUGAGAGAACGAUUGCACAUAGUAUUUCAAGGCGUUGGAUCAACCACUCAUUUGCUGUGAAACUGUAGAAGAAUGGACUUGCAUUUAUGUCAAUGAAGCCCAAAUUCUUUGAAAAGUGUCUAUCUUCGUCCCCGAAAGCUCUAAUUGUCAUAGCUCCAGCAAUGGACUCAGAAAGAUGGCUUGCAACAAAAGACUUGGUUGUGCCAUUGAUUCGCAUCAACUCUUUUCCAGCAGCAAAGUAGUACCUCUGGUUGUUAAAAUGAAAACAGACAUGAUCAAUUGCUAAGAAGCGAAGAGAAGCACAAAAUAUCUUACAAGCAAGACCCUAAAUGCUAAAUGAGGAGGGAAGCAGCUGCCUCUGCUACAUCCAUGUAAACAUCAUACAGUAGUGUAUUACCUGGAUGAGUAUACUUAGAUAAAUUGUUGGUAAAAUGACAAACACAAGUUCCCAGGCAAGAAUAGCCAACACUCCAAAACUGGCAUAAGCAUUCAUAGCUGCCCCAACAGCAAAAGUAAAUUUGAAGGCCACAUCAAGGUCAACCACACUCAAAUCAGAAGAUACCUGCAAAAAGGCAAUAAAAAAAUAAGUCUUCUGUUCUUUGCAAUAGGCAUUUAUUUUAAGCAUCUUACCCGACUGAGUAUCCUUCCCAGAGGUGUUGAGUCAUAAAAGGACAUUGGUGCUCGAAAAAGAGAGCUCAGCAGUGUAGAGAAAAUAGAUUGUGAUGCCUCAAGGCCUAAAAGAACAACAAAAAAAGACCGGAGCAACAAAAAGAGUGAUAAGCUUAAUCCGAUCCCUGUGUAAACUGCAAUCAGUUUCAAUUGGCUAACACUAGAAUUCUGGACAUUUGCAGCCAACCAAUAGUUUUGCACCAACUGUCCAACAAUGAAUAUGACAUGAGAUAGAGUUGCCAAAAAGAAGUACAAGAAUCCCUUGCUGUAUUUCAAGUAUUGUAGGUAAGGCUUGAGACCAGUGUCUCCAAUUUCUCUUUCUUCUUUCUUAAUUAACUGCUCUCCUGAUGUGUCUCUCAAUUGUUUCUCGGUGUAAAUCUUCUGUAUCUCUCCCUUUGGAAUUUUAGAUUUCUGGGUAGAAUCUUGCUCAGGUUGCCUCUCAGAACCAACUGUGGCAUUGUGUGCAUUAACAAGGUCCUGGAACUCUUGACUAAAGCGCAUCAGUUGCUCAAAGGUAGCAGCUUGCAGGAUCUCCCCUUCGGACAUUAACUGCCAACAGAAUUAGUCAUUUGGACUGCUUGAUUUAAAAGCAUGUGUUACUCAAGGAUUGCCUUCCAGAUGGUGGAAAUUACUUGUUAAGAAAGGAAAAGAAGUCAAAUGAGAGUUAAAGAAGGACAUCCAAGAAAGUAACUGUACUAACCAGAACCGAAUCAAAUGCUGGAAGGAAGUCCACUUGGUGGGUCACAAGUAUGACCGUCUUCGUUGAUAGAGCUCCCAUGACAUAUUCCUGGCCACAACUGGCAUUAGCAUUCACUCUGAAAGCAAUAACAUUAGUAGCAUAAUUUCUAAAAAAGGAGAACCGUACAUACAUUAAAUAGACUGGUUGCAGUAUGUGCAUCGACCGCACUAAAUGGAUCAUCCAGGAGAUAUACAUCUGCAUCCUGAUAUAAUGCGCGUGCGAGUUGAACCCUCUGCUUCUGUCCACCACUCAGAUUAACACCUCUUUCUCCUAUUUCAGUGAGAUCACCAAAUGGAAGCAUCUCAAGGUCCUUCACUAGGGCACACUUCUCAAUAACCUCUCUGUAUCUGUAAGGAUCCAUAGCAGACCCAAACAGAAUAUUUUCUUGUAUGGUACCUGUUGGAAUCCAUGCUGUCUGAGAGACGUAAGCAAUCUUUCCAUAAACUCGAACCUGGAAAAGAUGGAUCCAGAAUCCGUAUUAAGACAUUUGUCUACGUAAGACUCCUAGAACCUUUCGGGGCUCAUGAAGUUUUCUACCUUCCCCUUUUCCCCCCAUGAUGUUAAUAUCUACCAAAUGAAGUGUGUAUAAAUCAGGAAUGAUGCAUUACUUCUUUCACUUUUUAAGUUUGUUUUCUUUUGUAUUCCUAGUUAGGAAACCCUGAAAGAACAUAAAAAUUCCCUGUGGGUUUGUUGUUAUUCCUCUCAGUACAACUGUGCAUAAAGUAGUUGUUGAGUAUUUAUUCUAGUCCAUGGAUGAGGAAGAAAUGGAAUUGAAAGGGGUACUUACUAUGCCAUUAACGUGUGGAACUUCUCCAAGAACAGCAGCUAAUAGUGUCGAUUUACCUGAGCCAACCUCUCCACAAAUUGCUACCUUUUCCCCAGGCUUAACCACCAAAGUUAUGUUCCUUAGCGUAGCCCUUGUAGUGUUAUCCUCCCAUGAAAUUCUGUUGCUCUUGAUAAAAAUGGAUUCCUCCAGCUCCUUCCCAUCACACAUCUUCCUUACAUGUUUGUUCUGCAGCUCUGGUGCAUCAAGAAACUUUGCAAUCCGAUCUAACGAAACCUUGGCCUCAAUGAAUGCUGAAAUGACAUCAGGGAUUAACCUUAUUGGCUCCUGGGCAAGGCGUAAACUUGCCAUAAAUGUGAAAACAUUGGUAGCAGAGAGAGUAGUUCCAAGAAAGUAGCAUGCCCAGAAAGUAACCGCCGAUACUACAAUGGGAGAGGACCAAAACAGAAUCAGAUUGUACCCUCUCUGUGACAGAACUGAUGAUAACCACUUGAAUUCCUCUUUCCUCAACCCUUCUAUGACAUUCUUGAAAUGAGUCUCCCAAGCAUACAGCUUCAGAAUUUUCAUGUUUGUAAGUGCCUCUGUGAAAGUCUUCAGCCUCUUGUCCUGAGUUCCCAUGAGCAUUUUCUGGUACUUGUGUUGUAACUUUCCCAUAGGAGAGUUUGUAACUACAGUCAAUAUUACUACAGACAGAGCUGCUAUAGUUGCAAGCCCCACCGAGUAGUAAAUAAUAAGCAAUGCCAGACACAACUGGAGGCUUGUUGACCAUAUCUGGUGAAACCAGUACGGGUAUUCACCUAUUUUGUAAGCAUCAAUGGUAACAAAGUUAAUGAUCUGACCAGGGGAAUACGACCCCUUUGCAGCAUUUGAGAGCUUAAGCUGCUUCUGAUAGAUGGCUGCAGAUAGAAAUGAUCUCACUUGGAGCCCAAUCAAUCUAGUUCGAAAGAACCAUUGCCUCUCUGAUAACGAUUCUAAGCAUUUAGUAAGGAAGAGCCCUCCUGUCAGUGCAUAACCUUCAUACUCAAAAGCUUCUUUGCCUUCAGCAACCAGGAUGAAGGCUCUAAGAAACAGAGGGCCAGUAGAAAGUGUCAGUACCUUGAUCAAUGCAUAAAAGCCAGAAAACAAAAUUUGUUUCCACUGCCACAACAAUAUAGUUGACAAAAUGGAAGGAGAGUGAGAUGACCGCUUGUUUUUCUGCUUGUUCUGCUGUUCCAUGAACAUUGAGUAACACAUUUCCGCUCGAUCUUCCCUUCUUAGCUGUGGAAUGUCUUUGUCCUCAAGUGUUUUCUCCUUACCCUUCUUGAUCAACGAAUUCAACCACCAAAAUGACAGUCUACUAAUAAGCCCGGCUUUCUGAAAAGGAGGUAAGCUGGCAUCUGAAUUGAUUUUAUCACCACCACUGCCUCCUUCACCAGGCAACGGUGUAUAGAAGCCAGCACCAUCAAUUUCUGAAUCAGUUCCUGCAUAUUUCGGUCCUGAAAAAGUGGAGAACAUCGAUAGAAUUGCUCCAGGAAAAGAUAUAACAUCUAAAAUCAUCUUGACUGAUACUGCAUCGCUCACAAUAGCUUCCCAGAAAGAUGUAACACAGAGAAAACCUGCAAUAAAGAAUGCAAGUACUGAACAGAGCUUCAGCCCUGCAAUAUGUAGAACUUGAUGCCUCCUAAACCUCACAGCUAAACCCAGAAAAAACCAGGCGAAGCCUUGUAAUAAAUUCACUAGCCAGCCAUGCAGAGGUAGAAUGGUGUUCUCUUCAAUCAGCUUCUCUCCCAAAAUCCAGAUCCCCAAACCCAGAUAAACAAACCCCAAACUACCAUUAAGAAAGGCUGCAGAAUUUAGCGUUGUGGAAAAGCAUAGAGACCGUUGAGGGGAUAAUAUCUUCAAAGCUGAUGCUUUAUAUAUGAAGAUAAAUAAUAAUAAGAACAAGAGGAUGAUGUCUACAGAAAUGACCAAAAUAUGAUUGAGACAUGAACAUGGACAGAUGAUGGCUAGGAACCCAGAACUGCUUAUCUUUCCAAUUUUACUUGAACACCCGGUACUUCCACAGAAAACAGUCCAGAGACUCUCACCCAUGUUGUAUCUUCUUGCCUGCACAAAACUGUGGCUGUAAUAAAAUAAAAAAAAUAAAAAAAAGAAACAAAAAGCAAAGGGUUAUUUAUUAGAUUUUUGGCGUUUUAGAGUUGGAAGUAGUACUAAACAUGAGAACCAUCAAUGCGUGCCUAAUAGUUUCAGUUCUCAGUGGAACUUAAAAGUUAAAUUUAUCAUACAGGACUGAUCUGAACUUAAUUCACAACCCCAGGUGCCUAAGAUCAGGAGAAAGAAUCCAAGAACAACUGAACUGAGAUUGAAGAGAACUGACCAUAGACAGAGAACAUGAGAAAUUGCAGAAAACAGAUAGGGAGAAUGGGAUCCAAUGGAAAUGAAUCAAACAUGAAAGCAGAAGAUGUGAACAAGAUUCAGGAAACGUAUGCAAAACCCCCCAUUUCUCUGUUUCGUUGUUGAGAAAGAUACUGGAAAAUAAAUGUAAACCUUGAAUCUCAUAACAAGUAAGGGAUGGAGUGGUAGCCUUAAGAUUGCAAAACUUCUUUUCUUAUACCAUGAGUCUCAGUAACCAAACACAACCCACUGAGAUUCCUUGACCAAGCACAGUCUAGGCCUAUUUUCUCAAGCUGAAAGGAUGAGCACAAAAAAACAGGAACAAGAAGAUGAGGCAGUUACCUUAGGAUACGUUGGACAAUGAUGUAAAACCAAACCACAUCUUUUUAUUUAAGCUUUCUGGAAAGGGGACAGGAAUAAUUAUAUAGUAGAAAAGCUUGCAGAAAUAAAUAGAAUCGAAUGGAAAGAAAUUGUUCCUUUUCUUUCGGUCCUAGCUUACACUUUUCCAGGUUCCCAUAAUAAUAGCUAAAGGACCCCUUGAUAGGAUCAAUUCAAGAAAAAGAUGGGAAAAAAAGAAAAGAAGAAAAACAGAGCCCAGAAGAGGAAAAUAGUAGAAAAUUAAUGCUCACAAUGCACUGAGUCAGCCCAACAGAAAAAGAAGUUUUAUAUGAAGGACCCAAGAAUUCAAAGCAAUUAAUGAGGAAACAAACAGAAUGAUGGAGCAACUUCAGAGAGUGAAAACCAUCUUGAACCAAUUAUAGAAUGCACAGAACAUGGGGGUGGUCAAAAU
rnacentral:lncRNA from 1 species